rnacentral:rRNA from 1 species
UACGGAAGGCAGCAGUGGGGAAUAUUGCACAAUGGGCGCAAGCCUGAUGCAGCCAUGCCGCGUGUAUGAAGAAGGCCUUCGGGUUGUAAAGUGCUUUCAGUCGUGAGGAAGGUGUUAAGGUUAAUAACCUUAGCAAUUGACGUUAGCGACAGAAGAAGCACCGGCUAACUCCGUGCCAGCAGCCGCGGUAAUACGGAGGGUGCGAGCGUUAAUCGGAAUUACUGGGCGUAAAGGGCACGCAGGCGGUUAAUUAAGUUGGAUGUGAAAUCCCCGGGCUUAACCUGGGAAUGGCAUUCAAGACUGGUUAGCUAGAGUCUUGUAGAGGGGGUAGAAUUCCAUGUGUAGCGGUGAAAUGCGUAGAGAUGUGGAGGAAUACCGGGUGGCGAAGGCGGCCCCUGGGACAAAGACUGACGCUCAUGUGCGAAAGCGUGGGGAGCAAACAGGAUUAGAUACC